rnacentral:rRNA from 1 species
AUUGAACGCUGGCGGCAUGCUUUACACAUGCAAGUCGAACGGUAACAGGCCGCAAGGUGCUGACGAGUGGCGAACGGGUGAGUAAUGCAUCGGAACGUGCCCAGUCGUGGGGGAUAACGCAGCGAAAGGCGUGCUAAUACCGCAUACGAUCUAUGGAUGAAAGCGGGGGACCGUAAGGCCUCGCGCGAUUGGAGCGGCCGAUGUCAGAUUAGGUAGUUGGUGGGGUAAAGGCCUACCAAGCCGACGAUCUGUAGCUGGUCUGAGAGGACGACCAGCCACACUGGGACUGAGACACGGCCCAGACUCCUACGGGAGGCAGCAGUGGGGAAUUUUGGACAAUGGGCGCAAGCCUGAUCCAGCAAUGCCGCGUGCAGGAAGAAGGCCUUCGGGUUGUAAACUGCUUUUGUACGGAACGAAACGGUCUGGGUUAAUACCCUGGGCUAAUGACGGUACCGUAAGAAUAAGCACCGGCUAACUACGUGCCAGCCGCCGCGGUAAAAC